GAGAAUUUCAACCCAGUGGAUCUUAGCUUGCUUGCUGGGAUCUGUCGGGGUGGGACCCACUGAGUAAGACCACUUGGCUCCCUGGCUUCAGCCCCCUUUCCAGGGGAGUGGACGGUUCUCUCUCGCUGGGGUUCCGGCUGCCACUGGGAUAUGAAAAAAAACUCCUACAGCUAAGAAAUUCAGCAAGAGACAGAUAUCCCUGAAAGAGAGCUUGUUAGAGCCCUACAGUCCCUCGCCUGUGGUAAACCAACACAGCGGGUUCUUACAAAAGAACCCAAAUCAAAGGAAAUAGAAAAUGGUCAUAUAUUUACAGUUAAUGAUCAAUUCACAUCCAAACUACACAGAGUCAAGAUUCAAACAGUUGCUGCCAAACAAGGUGAAUCCGACCCAGAGAGGAAAGAAAC
rnacentral:lncRNA from 10 species